rnacentral:rRNA from 1 species
GAUGAACGCUGGCGGCGUGCUUAACACAUGCAAGUCGAACGGGAAACCUUUUAAUGAAGCUUCGGCAGAUUUAGCUGGUUUCUAGUGGCGGACGGGUGAGUAACGCGUGGGUAACCUGCCUUAUACAGGGGGAUAACAGUCAGAAAUGACUGCUAAUACCGCAUAAGCGCACAGGACCGCAUGGUCCGGUGUGAAAAACUCCGGUGGUAUAAGAUGGACCCGCGUUGGAUUAGCUUGUUGGUGGGGUAACGGCUCACCAAGGCGACGAUCCAUAGCCGGCCUGAGAGGGUGAACGGCCACAUUGGGACUGAGACACGGCCCAGACUCCUACGGGAAGCAGCAGUGGGGAAUAUUGCACAAUGGGGGAAACCCUGAUGCAGCGACGCCGCGUGAAGGAAGAAGUAUCUCGGUAUGUAAACUUCUAUCAGCAGGGAAGAUAGUGACGGUACCUGACUAAGAAGCCCCGGCUAACUACGUG